rnacentral:rRNA from 1 species
UGGGGAAUAUUGCACAAUGGGCGCAAGCCUGAUGCAGCCAUGCCGCGUGUGUGAAGAAGGCCUUCGGGUUGUAAAGCACUUUCAGCGAGGAGGAAGGUGGUGAACUUAAUACGUUCAUCAAUUGACGUUACUCGCAGAAGAAGCACCGGCUAACUCCGUGCCAGCAGCCGCGGUAAUACGGAGGGUGCAAGCGCUAAUCGGAAUUACUGGGCGUAAAGCGCACGCAGGCGGUUUGUUAAGUCAGAUGUGAAAUCCCCGGGCUCAACCUGGGAACUGCAUUUGAAACUGGCAAGCUAGAGUCUCGUAGAGGGGGGUAGAAUUCCAGGUGUAGCGGUGAAAUGCGUAGAGAUCUGGAGGAAUACCGGUGGCGAAGGCGGCCCCCUGGACGAAGACUGACGCUCAGGUGCGAAAGCGUGGGGAGCAAACAGGAUUAGAUACCCUGGUAGUCCACGCUGUAAACGAUGUCGAUUUGGAGGUUGUGCCCUUGAGGCGUGGCUUCCGGAGCUAACGCGUUAAAUCGACCGCCUGGGGAGUACGGCC